UACGAACUGUGCAAACGUUAUUCGGAAUCACUGGGCUUAAAGGGUGCGUAGGCGGCUAUUUAAGUAGGGUGUGAAAGCCCCCGGCUCAACCGGGGAAUUGCGUCCUAAACUGGAUAGCUCGAGUGAGAUAGAGGUGUGCGGAACUUCCGGUGGAGCGGUGAAAUGUGUUGAUAUCGGAAGGAACGCCGGUGGCGAAAGCGGCACACUGGGGUCUCAACUGACGCUGAGGCACGAAAGCCAGGGGAGCGAACGGG
rnacentral:rRNA from 1 species